rnacentral:rRNA from 1 species
AUGGGCGUGUCAACUGCCUCUCCGAUGUAUGCUUCUGCGCGGCUCUUUCUUUCGCUGAGAGCCUUAGGAGCACUUGCAAAUGUGAUUAUGUUAGCAGUGCGGGGUAUCUUUCGUGGAUUCAAGGAUACCAAGACUCCCGUACUUUUUAUAGGUUUGGGGAAUGUUUCCGCUGUAGUCCUUCUUCCUUUGCUUAUAUAUGGUUUUAAGCUCGGUAUAACAGGAGCCGCAAUUUCUACAGUCGCAUCCCAGUACAUUAUUGCCAUUUUGCUUAUGUGGUCUCUAAGUAAAAGAGUUGUUCUGCUUCCUCCAAGGAUGGACCAGUUAGAGUUUGGUGGAUAUUUAAAAUCCGGUGGCAUGCUAUUGGGAAGAACACUCUCAAUUCUGUUAACUAUGACCAUCGGUACAUCAAUGGCUGCUCGACAAGGCCCAACAGCUAUGGCUGCUCAUCAAAUUUGUUUGCAAGUAUGGCUUGCUGUAUCUCUGCUUGCAGACGCUUUAGCAGUUUCUGCCCAGGCUCUGAUUGCAAGCUCUUAUGCAAUACUGGACUACAAAAGGGUCCAGAAGGUUGCGAUGUUUUCUCUGCAGAUAGGACUAGCUAGCGGGUUAGCUGCAGUUGGCCUGUAUAUCUCAUUUGGCAGUAUAGCAAGGCUAUUUACUAAUGACCCUCAAGUCCUAACGGUCGUAAGCUCCUGUGCAUUGUUUGUCUGUGCCAGUCAACCGGUUAAUGCCUUGGCAUUCAUCUUUGAUGGUCUCCAUUACGGCGUCUCAGAUUUUGACUAUGUCGCUCAAGCUACGAUUGUGGUUGGGGUGAUAUCAUCGUUGGUCUUGUUAUAUGCUCCACGUGUGUUUGGACUGGCCGGAGUUUGGGCUGGUUUGACAACACUCAUGGGACUGCGCAUGGCUGCAGGCACCCUGAGGUGGCUAUGGAAGACAGGACCUUGGUCAUUUUUGCAUGAGGAACCAAAAUCCAAGGUUUGUUAA